GAUGAACGCUGGCGGCGUGCCUAAUACAUGCAAGUCGAGCGAACAGAUGAGGAGCUUGCUCCUCUGACGUUAGCGGCGGACGGGUGAGUAACACGUGGAUAACCUACCUAUAAGACUGGGAUAACUUCGGGAAACCGGGGCUAAUACCGGAUAAUAUAUUGAACCGCAUGGUUCAAUAGUGAAAGACGGUUUUGCUGUCACUUAUAGAUGGAUCCGCGCCGCAUUAGCUAGUUGGUAAGGUAACGGCUUACCAAGGCAACGAUGCGUAGCCGACCUGAGAGGGGGAGCGGCCAAAAGGGAAAGAGGAAAGGGCCAAAAACCCAAGGGGGGGAAAGAGGGGGAAACUUUCCGAAAGGGGGGAAAGCCUAAGGGAGAAACCCCGGGGGGGGGAAGAAGGUUUUGGGAUCGAAAAACCUUGUUAUGAGGGAAAAAAAAAUGGGAAAGUAACAAGGAACGUUUGAAGGGGACCAAACAAGAAAACCAGGGAAAAAUACGG
rnacentral:rRNA from 1 species